UGCGUUNUGAACUGGGUGACUAGAGUGUGUCAGAGGGAGGUAGAAUNCCACGUGUAGCAGUGAAAUGCGUAGAGAUGUGGAGGAUACCGAUGGCGAAGGCAGCNUCCUGGGAUAACACUGACGUUCAUGCCCGAAAGCGUGGGUAGCAAACAGGAUUAGAUACCCUGGUAGUCCACGCCCUAAACGAUGUCGAUUAGCUGUUGGGCAGCAUGACUGCUUAGUAGCGAAGCUAACGCGUGAAAUCGACCGCCUGGGGAGUACGGUCGCAAGAUUAAAACUCAAAGGAAUUGACGGGGACCCGCACAAGCGGUGGAUGAUGUGGAUUAAUUCGAUGCAACGCGAAGAACCUUACCUGGUCUUGACAUGUACGGAACCCUCCAGAGACGGAGGGGUGCCUUCGGGAGCCGUAUCACAGGUGCUGCAUGGCUGUCGUCAGCUCGUGUCGUGAGAUGUUGGGUUAAGUCCCGCAACGAGCGCAACCCUUGUCAUUAGUUGCCAUCAUUAAGUUGGGCACUCUAAUGAGACUGCCGGUGACAAGCCGGAGGAAGGUGGGGAUGACGUCAAGUCCUCAUGGCCCUUAUGACCAGGGCUUCACACGUCAUACAAUGGUCGGUACAGAGGGUAGCCAAGCCGCGAGGUGGAGCCAAUCUCACAAAACCGAUCGUAGUCCGGAUUGCACUCUGCAACUCGAGUGCAUGAAGUCGGAAUCGCUAGUAAUCGCAGGUCAGCAUACUGCGGUGAAUACGUUCCCGGGUCUUGUACACACCGC
rnacentral:rRNA from 1 species